rnacentral:lncRNA from 1 species
AAGGUUAAAAAAAAAUAAAAGAAAAGGAAAGGGACAAGGAGGGAAGAGUGAUGAGGGAGGAAGAAGAAAAAUGGAAGAAUUAAAGAGAGAAGAAAAAGAAGGAUACGGGGAAAGGUAAAAGAAGGAGAAGAGGGAGAAAAAAAAAAAAAAAUAGGAGGGGGUUCUUACAUUUGAACCUGUGAUGAUAUGAAAAGUUUUACAAAAAUGGGAUUUUUCUUUUUCAGAGAAAACUAUUACGUACUUUUUUGGACGUCGAAAACUAACAUUUUCAACUUUUCUGAAACUCGUCCUCCUGAGAAAAAAGAGAUUCAAUUUUAAUACCUAAAAAACCAUCAUCGUUAACCUUAAUGCAUUUCAAGCAAUAAUC